UGCAAAGGCAGGAAAAACCCCUAGUAAACUUCAGAUCCCUACAUCUGAGAAAGGGAAAGAAUGCUCCCCACCGCAAAGGACCACAGUUACAAUUUACUAGGUAACCACACCCACCGCAUUGCAGAAGCCAUGAACUUGGCGCGGGGGUGAGAAGUGGGGAGAGGGAAGGGGGUAAGGAAGAAGUAGGGCGCGAUUAAGACAGGAAACCCGAGAAAGCGAGCCCCUGCGGAAAAAGCCAGGAAACACUAGUCCGAACUGGCUGAGACCCCGACUCCAGCGGUCCCAAGUCCCGGCCUCCCCACCCCCACCGCCGCAGAGCCGCCUUCGCAGACACCUCCCAAGGCAGCUCGCAGCGCGGCAGGCAGCAGGCGCCAGUGGCCACAUGAUGUGUAUUUGCCAGCGUGGAUACCACCUGAAAAUGGGAUUGCACUGGAAUCCACAGCUUCCAGAAUGCUCUGGAAAUCAAUGAAACAUCAUCUUCAGUGUCUUUGUCCCUUGAAAUAAAUUUGUUUAAUAGGUCAAAGCCUUUUGAGAACCAGCCAUAGUGGUUCAAGAUGUUAUUAGGGAUUUUCCUGAAUAUCCAAAGAUGACUCAUUUAAAGGUAAUAGAUUGGAAAAGAAUACUGGAGUUUCUCAAACUAGGUUGCCUACAGUUUACUAAGUUACAUAUGUCAAUAAUAAAUUUAGAAGGUGAUAAACAUA